CACAUGGGUGAGGUUUAAAGAGUGUGCUGAUAGAGGCGGGUGGAAAAAUAAAAACUAUUAAAGCACAGACAAAUUGGAGCAUGUCUGAGGAUUAGGGUCUCUCAUCCUGCUUUUUCGUGAGAGGUGAGUUUGGAGCCAGCUCAGCGAUAAAAAAUACUGCACUGAAACUGCUACGUCAUGAUUUGGUGCCAGGCAGUCAAGCAACCUCAUUGCAAGCUGCGCCAGCUUGGUGAGUAUUUGGCUGAACUCUGUUAGGGAUACGGAACGGUGACGAGGGGAAACAAAACAUUUGCGACCCUAAAGCCUCUGAAAGAGCACCAAGAUGAAAGUGGUACCACCUCCAUGGCCGACAGGCCAGCACCGCAGGUUUGAAGCUGAAAAUUUGCCAUCUCCAAACCACAUGACCCAGCGGGUACCGUCAGCGGCUCGACUACGGCCACUCAUCCACCAGGAAACAAUCCUGCCGGGCCACCAGGAGAAUCCUCGCAGCUUCCCAAACACCAGCGUACCGAUGCCAAAGCCCCUACCAUCCUGUGGUAGACAUCCAUCAAGAACAUGGAAAUAUAUUAUAUCGUGCAUUUUAUUCUCAGGCUUUUAGAAACUACAGUAGAAGCAGAAAAUUACAUUAAAAAUGUAACUUUUGAUGUUGUCUGCUUUUUUUUUUAAUGCCUACCCUUCAAAGACUUUAAAGUCUUCAAAGACAUAGAAGUAUUAAAUUAUGGCAAAGAUGAAAAUGUGGUGAAAACUAUAUACCAGGGCUAUUUAACUUCAGUGUCUUAGAGGCCACAUUUCCAGAAAGCUAAGGACUAGGCAGCCUGUUUUCUCCCUUUGCUAAAAGUCUU